rnacentral:lncRNA from 1 species
AGUUUUGUUGUACUAAUUUGAUUUGGGUACUAAAAUUGUUAUGUCUAGUGGAAAUUAUAGCAUGUUUAUAUACAAAUUAAUCAGUAUGUUACAAGAAUCCCAAGAAUGUUAAUUAUAUUCACCCGGGUCAUUUCCCGGCCGGGAAAAAAUGCGCCACAGACCCGGGCGCCAACCGUCGGUGUCGCCGGGCUUUAUCUUAAGUAAUAUCACAGACAAAAGUUAGAAUUUAAUUUGCAUUGCUAAAAUCGUUACAAGACGGCUAAUAAUUUUAACAUAAACGUUGUAUAUUUUGCACAAGAGAUAAAAAUUUGUAGCCCUUUGUAAUAAAAUUAGUUACAACUAAAAUUUGUAUGUGAACUAUAGCAUGUUUAUAUUCAAAGUAAUCACAAUUUUAUAAGAAUUCCAGCAAUGUUAAUUAUAUUCUUCCAAGUCAGUUUAGUGAUAUUUCAUAAGAGAAAACCUGAAAGUCACUGUUAAGGACAGAUAAAUAAAUAAGCUCUAGACCUUGGCAUCAACUGUCAAACCGAUAACCCUCCUCCCCAUCUUGCCGCGAAUCCGAUCACGAGUAAACGGGCCAUUUCGCGUCUCGUAAUUUUAGCCGCGUCGAUUUACGAGCGUCCGUUUUAACGCGAUACUACAAAAACGAUGUUUUGUAGGAGAUGGGCCGAGGUGCAUUUGGGUAUAUUGGGUCUUUUUAGUAUUUUGUGUUAGUCUCGAGUACCAAAGUAAAUUGUUCCAUUGAAACCACUUUAAUUGAGUCCAAAUUUGGUUUAAAGCUAUUAGCUCUCUAGGAAUGCGCCUCGCGUCACCGACGCGUACGCGGGACCGGUAACAAUUUUACGUAAACGCGUCGACGACGUAAUAUUCGACAAUGCCGUCGGGUCGUCGACGUCCCGUUUCUUCGUUUAGUAAAUAGUCGUGGCGAUUUUUGUCGCGCGCGUGUCCGUCGACGGGCACGCCGAGGGCGGUCCGUCCGCGGAUGCGGGCCCGCUCGAGAUUCGGCCCGUAUUGCGCAGUCGUACGGUCCGUCGUCGUUUGCGAGAAGUACUCGUUUACGUAGUCUCGCGUGCAGUAUAUUGCAUUUUCUAGCAAUAGACUAGUUACGAUCGUAGAUUAGUUCCAUCACGUAGGGUAUCGUCUCGCCGUCGGCCCGGGACACACCUCCGGCCACUCGACACUCUGCUUACCGGUACACGACACAAAUUAAAAAUGAUCAACACGAUAUUUUACGAGGGCAUUAUGAUUGAUUUAUAAUACCCUAUGCAAUGGUUGUAUAGAUGUAGUGCAGUAUAAUUAUUAAAUGCAGGCAGCAUUCACAUCACAAACUUAACCCACAGAAGAAGUCGCCUCGGGCAGCGGAAGCGCGAUCCGGGAGAAGGACACGAAGAACGACCGUAGAUCGUCGCUCCGGAGACGGGUCGGCGAGUGCCGCUCUCCGACGCGAGACGAUCGUCGAGAAUAACCUACGUGUUUUUCUAUUUUUAUGGAUGCUAUUUUAAGGAUAACUAAAGCUCAGUCAACGGUUAUUUUAGCUUAAGGUCAUAUUAUACGUGUAUUUGUAAUGUACAGUAUUUCAUUGAGUAAGAAUGCUAAAACUUGCCCGGCGGUCGACCCCCAAAACAACUGCGGCGACCCGCUCCGGCACUCGAGAAGACGGAAGCUCCGAGUACACGACGUUAAAGAUUAACGGAUAGUUUGACGACUAUACCACCCCUUGUUCCCUCUACCUCCAGCUAAAUGUAUCCCUCCCUCCACUUACCACUCUUCCUUUCCUCAUCUAUUAUCUUUCCCUUCCACCCCUCUAUCCCACCAUCUGUCCCCCCUCCCUUUCUUCACGUACCAUUCUUCCUUUCCUUAUCUAUUAUCCUUCCCUUCCACCCCUCUAUCCCUUCCCUCCACAUACCACCUUUCUCUCCUAGCACCUGUCGUUCCUUUUUUGUGUUUUAUUUAAUAAGUUUUAUAGUAUAUGAUGGUCACCUUAUUAAUAAUGUACCAUUUUGUGUGAUUACAAUUACACUACACACACUUAGUCGAAGUGACCAGUUAUUAGUGUUGAUAUUAAUGGGAUAAAUAUUAGAUAAGUUUAUUGGAGUUUGCUAUAAAAUAUGUGACUAUAAUUAUAAAUUGUGAGUGUGAAGAAGGGUUUAUAAGUUGUAUAUAUGUCAAUUAGAGGAACAAAUAAUUUGCUAACCACACCCUAGUCCUUCAAUGGAAAACGCAUCGAAAUGCGCAGCGGCGAAUGCAUUCGGCGGGAGAAUAAUGCGGCGACACGCGUAGAAUACUCGUACGCCACUCUCGGGCACGUACGUUUCCAUUUACUAAAGUUAGGUGGGUUUGUUUGGGUGGCGUGGGACCCAGAGGGCAUCGGCAGGCGGUCGCGUCCGGCGGUUGCCGUGCGAGAAAUUGGGAGGACGGGCUUUCACGUUGCAGAAACUAAGGAACGGCAUCUUCCGGCGGAACCACAGCCCGCGAUUAAAGGAACGCUCGGGUUUGACGCCCACGGACCGAGCGCGCGGCUCCUCCGCCGUAACAAGAGUAGUCGAUUGAAGUCCCCUCUUUUGCCUGGGUGGAUGUGUCUGUGCUAACCGUUUUAGGCAAGUGAAUGUUUGGUACAGCAGAUUUGGGGAUUCAUUGUAGGGUAGACUUGCCAUACAGUGCAGUGUUUUAAUUGGUAUUAUAUUGCGGCGAUCGGCGAGCACGGAGACCGAAGCCUCACUCGACCGUGUCUCGGGAGGCGUGGGGUUUGGUCCGAGGCCACUCGCAGUCAUCGUCGAGGGUAUAGUCCGGAACGCCGUUCGACGUGACGUCUCGUCGAAAUUCCGGAGCGGUCUUCUCGUCGCGGGGCGCGCCGGAGGUCGACGCUACGACGUUCCCGGAGGGGUCGUCGUCGUCGUCGUCGGGUAUUUGACGUGCAUCCGGAGUAGAACGAGGGCACGCGUCGAACCGUCGAAAGUGCGCAAGAAAUGAGAUCGCGUAAAUAACGGCAGAUUAAUUUCGUCGACACUCGUACGUAUAAGAGUGCAAAGUAAAUAAAUAAUACGUAUUUUUUUUAUGGGAAUUAGCCCACCCGGGCACGGGUCACCGACCCACAUCGGGGCGAAAAUGUAAUAAUAAUAAUAAUAAUUGUUGAAGUUACAGUGUUCAUUUUUGGUGGAUAUCAACGAAAUAUGAUGCGAGAGGCUCAGACGACGACACAAACGACGACGCUCUCUCCGGUAUAUUUUCGGGACCGUCCGUAAAAACGAAACCAAAACACGCGUGCGCAUUCAAAGUGGCGCAUUAUUGCACAAGUAAAAUAAAACAUAUUGCCAUAAAUAUGGGGUAACCUAGUUUAUAUGUAACAAUAAUACUGAAGAACCUUAAAGAAAUACAAAAUGGAAAAAAAAAUCAAAAGUGAGGAACAAUAGAUUUAUGUUGUGUUGUCAAUAGUAAGAGAAACAAUCGAGACAGAGAGUCAGACGAGCGACCCGGGACUCGGUCACAAUUUUAGGGAUGCCACGUAGCAGGAAGAUCUACCACGGACGACACAUUACGCUUCCAAUAUUGUCUGCGGAGGUGGUAUCUCCCCGUUUGGUGGCUGCCUAAGUAUGUAAGAUUUUCCAAUGGAAAGUGUAUGUUUGGCAAAUGUAUCCAGGUCUUUAGAGAAUGUACUCAGAUAUUUGGGUUAGGUGUCAAGGGUUCAUGUAUAAUUUGCAUGCCUAAUUGACUAUGUAUAUUUUUUAACCUUAAUUUUUCAUUUGCAGUCACCCGACGGGAGUCAGAAACGUCAUUUUUGUGCGGACCGGCGACUCGACGGACCCCGGCCGAGGACGCCGCUCGAACCGCGGUUGCGGAGGAGCGCGCCGAUACGAGUCGGAGACGGCUCGUACAGUCGGCGCACGAGAGCGGUCCGGACGAAGACAUUCGGGAACCGAGGACGAAGACGCUCGUCGACUGCGGACGAAGACACCGGUCGACGCGCGAGGAAGAUGCUCCGGAACACGGGAAGAACGCCACACUCCCGAGUGCGGGAAGACACUCGUCAACGCAGAAGGAGACACGCAUCAAUGUCGGGCCGGCGCGAUUGUUUUAAAGACGAUUUAACGUGUAAAAUGAAUGUACGUGUUGUUUGUAGUAUUGUUUUUAGAGACCGACUCUGCGAAGACGGAGGAAGUCGAUACAUGUCGAGAAUGAAUUUAUUGAAGAUGUUGCCUGUGAUCACUAGGUGUUUGCACUAAUUUGGGGAGAUGAUUACGAUCGUAGAACGUCACGGAAUGCGGCGCGCGCGUCAUUUGUGGCGGGACGCAUCCGUAAAUAACGGCAGCAUAAAUACGAGAGAACGCGGCGGCGGCGGCGGGGAAGUGCGCCUUUUGAAAGUAAAAGAACGGGGGAGAUCGGACCGACAUAGAUGGUGUUGGUGUGGUAACCGAUAAGAAUGGAGAAAUGAUGACUAUUUGGUGGGUUUUUUAGGACAGAGAGAGUAGUUAUAUAUUAGUGAAGAUAUAAAGUAAAAGGUGAUAAGGAUGGUGGUGGGGGGGGACAACGAAUGAUAUAUUUUGUAGGGUAUUAAAGGAAUUGACUCGUCAGUGCCGAGUCGGCGUAAUUGUGAGAAACGGAUGCGACGGGGAUUGUAAAGAAGUCGCGCGGUAGAGGAAUUGGCGGAAGCGACGAUCGCAAUAACCUUUCGACGUGGGACGGACGACGACGAAUUUAGUAAAUGGCGGUUUAGGAAAGGGUCGUACGUAAAGCGGCGGGUGCGG